rnacentral:rRNA from 1 species
UACGUAGGGUGCAAGCGUUGUCCGGAAUUAUUGGGCGUAAAGAGCUCGUAGGCGGUCAGUCGCGUCUGCUGUGAAAACUCGGGGCUUAACUCCGGGCCUGCAGUGGGUACGGGCUGACUAGAGUGCGGUAGGGGAGACUGGAAUUCCUGGUGUAGCGGUGAAAUGCGCAGAUAUCAGGAGGAACACCGAUGGCGAAGGCAGCUCGCUGGGACGGUACUGACGCUGAGGCGCGAAAGCGUGGGGAGCGAACAGG